rnacentral:lncRNA from 1 species
AUGUUCUCAGGAUUUUUGUAUGGGUUUUCAAACGAGAGGACAUUUUCUGUCAUGGUUCUGUGUCUUGUUGUGUCUUAUGUUUUGAUUUCCAGGUCCUCUUGUGUCCUUUCAGUGUCUCCUGUGUUCUUCCCUCUGUUUUCCCCUUCCCUCUGGUUGCAUGUACUGCAUGUCUGGUUGCAUGUCUCCCUCUGUCUGUCAGUGUGCCCGCCACACUCCACUCUCGCCUGCUGCUCCACCUCACCUGUUCCUAGUCUUGUCGUUAGUGUCUGUGUUUAUAGUCCUUGUCUUCCCUAUUGUGUUUGUCAGUUUGUUGUGUGUAUUUGUGUAAUGUUCCCCUGGAAGUUUCCUGUGUCGCCUCUUGUGUCUCUGGUCUUCGUGGCUACAAACUCUACAGAGUCUUCAACAUAUCCAGAUUUUGCCUGCAAAGACAAAAACGAGGACAUCACACUGGAGGAAAGAAAAGUCAUCGCUGAACUUAGAACCCGCUCCUUGCUCCAGACCAGACAGCCCGACACUUCAACGCACACAGCAAUAGGAGCAUCAGGAGAAACAGCAGGAGGAACCGGUGGAACAGCAGGAGCAACCGGAGGAACAACAAGAGCAACUGGAGGAACAGAAGAAACAACAGGAGGAAGAGUCAGUAAUUAGUAAUCUCACCAUAAUAUCUGUUCAGGUGACCGUCAGUCUCUUUAUCAGCAGUUUCCUUCAUGUUUAGAAGAACUGUGUGAAGUAGGUGAUGUGUUGAGAAGCAGUUUAAUUUAGAAUUCACUUUUGAUUAAAAAAAAAAAAACAUUUGUUAGAUGUUGGGUAGCGACAGAACACAAGGGAAAACCAACAGCUUCUGCAUUUUUUUAUAUAAUCUAGAUUAUUUUUUAUUUGUGAAAACUAAAUGUUGAUUCACUGUUUGAAACGGUUGGCAGGGGAUUAGAAUUUCAACUUCACAAUGUAAAUAUAGAGGUCAAUAGACAUCAAUCUGUGUGUGUGUCUGUCGUUUUCAUCAGGGGGAGGAACAGCAGGAGGAACAGCAGGACAAGCAAUGUGAGGAGCAGGAGGAACAGCAGCAGGAGCAGGGGGAACAGCCGAAGGAACAGCAGAGGGAGGAGCAGGAGGAUGAGCAGGAGGGACAGGUGUGUUUGUGUGUUAUUUAAUCAGUAAUUAGUAAUCUUCCCAUAAUAUCUGUUCAGCUGACCGUCAGUCUGUUUAUCAGCAGUUUCCUUCAUGUUGAGAAGAACUGUGAAAAGCAGAUGAUGUGAGACAGAACACAACUAAAC